GGGGGGGGGGGGGGGGGGGGCGGGGGGGGGCGGGGCGGGGGGAGGGAGGGGGCUUGCUCCUGGAUUCAGCGGCGGACGGGUGAGUAAUGCCUAGGAAUCUGCCUGGGAGUGGGGGAUAACGUCCGGAAACGGGCGCUAAUACCGCAUACGUCCUGCGGGAGAAAGUGGGGGAUCUUCGGACCUCACGCUAUCAGAUGAGCCUAGGUCGGAUUAGCUAGUUGGUGGGGUAAAGGCCUCCCAAGGCGACGAUCCGUAACUGGUCUGAGAGGAUGAUCAGUCACACUGGAACUGAGACACGGUCCAGACUCCUACGGGAGGCAGCAGUGGGGAAUAUUGGACAAUGGGCGAAAGCCUGAUCCAGCCAUGCCGCGUGUGUGAAGAAGGUCUUCGGAUUGUAAAGCACUUUAAGUUGGGAGGAAGGGCAGUAAGUUAAUACCUUGCUGUUUUGACGUUACCAACAGAAUAAGCACCGGCUAACUUCGUG
rnacentral:rRNA from 1 species